GGGGGUGACUUGGAUUCGACGGGGAUGAGGAAGCUCAAGACUGCGUACCGUGGUCUCCGCGUCCACGCUAAACAAGCGGUAAACUGAUAAGUGCCAACUACAACUACGCACUGGCUGCCUAAUUGAAUUAGGCGACCCGUUCAUCCGGACUUUGCCCAUCGGGGAGGGAAUGAACGUCGACUGAGAUGGGAUAGUCCGGCAUCGCUCCGAGGGGUGCCGGAUGAAGUCCCGCCGAAAGCGGGAACACCUCGGAUAGCAUGAGGCCAAUCCUGCCUGUCCCGCGUUGCGGGAUCCCGGAAACCGGGGCCGGAGUUCCCUCGUGCGAAGAUCAAAAGGCGGGCUAGGUACGUAGACGUUUUGAGGGUCUUCUCUUCGGACCGGGGUUCGACUCCCCGCACCUCCACCA
rnacentral:tmRNA from 1 species